CAGCAGGCGCGAAAACUUUACAAUGCUGGCAACAGCGAUAAGGGGACCUCGAGUGCCAGGUUACAAAUCUGGCUGUCGUGAUGCCUAAAAAGCAUUGCAUAGCAAGGGCCGGGCAAGACCGGUGCCAGCCGCCGCGGUAACACCGGCGGCUCGAGUGGUAACCGUUAUUAUUGGGUCUAAAGGGUCUGUAGCCGGCCGGAUAAGUCUCUUGGGAAAUCCAGCAGCUCAACUGUUGGGCUUUCAGGAGAUACUGUCUGGCUCGAGGCCGGGAGAGGUGAGAGGUACUUCAGGGGUAGGGGUGAAAUCUUGUAAUCCUUGAAGGACCACCAGUGGCGAAGGCGUCUCACCAGAACGGACCUGACGGCAAGGGACGAAAGCUAGGGGCACGAACCGGAUUAGAUACCCGGGUAGUCCUAGCCGUAAACGAUACUCGCUAGGUGUCGGCCACGGUGCGACCGUUGUCGGUGCCGUAGGGAAGCCGUGAAGCGAGCCACCUGGGAAGUACGGCCGCAAGGCUGAAACUUAAAGGAAUUGGCGGGGGAGCAC
rnacentral:rRNA from 1 species